GUUUGACCUCGGAUCAGGUAGGGAUACCCGCUGAACUUAAGCAUAUCAAUAAGCGGAGGAAAAGAAACCAACAGGGAUUGCCCUAGUAACGGCGAGUGAAGCGGCAACAGCUCAAAUUUGAAAUCUGGCUCUUUCAGAGUCCGAGUUGUAAUUUGCAGAGGGCGCUUUGGCUUUGGCAGCGGUCCAAGUUCCUUGGAACAGGACGUCACAGAGGGUGAGAAUCCCGUACGUGGUCGCUAGCUAUUGCCGUGUAAAGCCCCUUCGACGAGUCGAGUUGUUUGGGAAUGCAGCUCUAAAUGGGGAGGUAAAUUUCUUCUAAAGCUAAAUAUUGGCCAGAGACCGAUAGCGCACAAGUAGAGUGAUCGAAAGAUGAAAAGCACUUUGGAAAGAGAGUCAAACAGCACGUGAAAUUGUUGAAAGGGAAGCGCUUGCAGCCAGACUUGCUUGCAGUUGCUCAUCCGGGCUUUUGCCCGGUGCACUCUUCUGCAGGCAGGCCAGCAUCAGUUUGGGCGGUGGGAUAAAGGUCUCUGUCAUGUACCUUCCUUCGGGUUGGCCUUAUAGGGGAGACGCCAUACCACCAGCC
rnacentral:rRNA from 1 species